GAUGAACGCUGGCGGCGUGCCUAACACAUGCAAGUCGAGCGGAGAUAUUUAAGCAGAUAGAGAUAUUUGCAAAGAUAUUUUAGCGGCGGACGGGUGAGUAACACGUGAGGAACCUGCCUUACACUAAGGAAUAACAGCGUGAAAACGUUGCUAAUACCGCAUAACACCGCACUGUGGCAUCACAGAGCGGUCAAAGGAGAGAUCCGGUGUAAGAUGGCCUCGCGUCCGAUUAGUUAGUUGGCGGGGUAACGGCCCACCAAGACAACGAUCGGUAGCCGGACUGAGAGGUCGAACGGCCACAUUGGAACUGAGAUACGGUCCAGACUCCUACGGGAGGCAGCAGUGGGGAAUAUUGGGCAAUGGGGGAAACCCUGACCCAGCAACGCCGCGUGAAGGAAGAAGGCCUUCGGGUUGUAAACUUCUUUGAUCAGGGAAGAAAGAAAUGACGGUACCUGAAGAACAAGCCACGGCAACUACGUG
rnacentral:rRNA from 1 species